rnacentral:lncRNA from 1 species
UAGAUGAAUAUGUAAAGGCUAGAUAUUGGAGUUAAAGUAGAUCACCUAAGAGAAGUAGCUAGAAUUUUCUUUGCCAAAGUAUUUGAAGUUCACAGAUUUACUUGUUUAAAAGCUUUAUAAAAGUGCUUAUCCUGUUUUGUUUCACCAACAAACAUUUUCAAACUUUUUUUUUCUCAUUUCAGAACACAGAUAUGUAGAACUCUUCUUGAAUUCUACAGCAGGAGCAAGCGGUGGUGCUUACGAACACAGAUAUGUAGAACUCUUCUUGAAUUCUACAGCAGGAGCAAGCGGUGGUGCUUAUGCAAACCAGUCCAGUUACGGUGGCCCAGCCAGCCAGCAGCUGAGUGGUGGUUAUGGAGGCGGCUAUGGUGGCCAGAGCAGCAUGAGUGGAUACGGUAAGCCUGUUUUUUUAAUAUACUUAGAAUUAAGUUUUAGGCAGGUUUCUUUAGUUGGGAAGAUGGAGGCUCCUUUUUGGUGAAAUUGGGUUAUUAAAUGUAUGCUUUCAAUCCAAAUGUAACUGUUUUUACUAGCUUAAUUUUCAGAAACAAUCAUUGGGAGGGGGAAGUGUUCUGUGAAUAAAAAACUAGUCAUUGCAACUUUGGAAUACUGUCGAGCCAGAAAAUAUCUGCCU